UACGUAGGGGGCAAGCGUUGUCCGGAUUUAUUGGGCGUAAAGAGCGUGUAGGCGGCCAGGUAGGUCCGCUGUGAAAACUCGAGGCUCAACCUCGAGAUGUCGGCGGAAACCAUCUGGCUAGAGUCCGGAAGAGGAGAGUGGAAUUCCUGGUGUAGCGGUGAAAUGCGCAGAUAUCUGGAGGAACACCGGUGGCGAAGGCGGCAUCCUGGACCAUUACUGACACUGAAAAGCGAAAGCCAGGGGAGCAAACGGG
rnacentral:rRNA from 1 species